rnacentral:rRNA from 2 species
AAACCAACAGGGAUUGCCCUAGUAACGGCGAGUGAAGCGGCAACAGCUCAAAUUUGAAAUCUGGCUCUUUCAGGGUCCGAGUUGUAAUUUGCAGAGGGUGCUUUGGUGUUGGCGGCGGUCUAAGUUCCUUGGAACAGGACAUCGCAGAGGGUGAGAAUCCCGUAUGUGGUCGCCUGCCUUCGCCGUGUAAAGCCCCUUCGACGAGUCGAGUUGUUUGGGAAUGCAGCUCUAAAUGGGAGGUAAAUUUCUUCUAAAGCUAAAUACCGGCCAGAGACCGAUAGCGCACAAGUAGAGUGAUCGAAAGAUGAAAAGCACUUUGGAAAGAGAGUCAAACAGCACGUGAAAUUGUUAAAAGGGAAGCGCUUGCAGCCAGACUUGCCUGUAGUUGCUCGCCUGGGCUUUUGCCCGGGUUACUCUUCUGCAGGCAGGCCAGCAUCAGUUUGGGCGGUCGGAUAAAGGUCCCUGACACGUAUCUCCCUUCGGGGUUAACAUAUAGGGGGGACGUAAUGCGACCAGCCUGGACUGAGGUCCGCGCAUCUGCUAGGAUGCUGGCGUAAUGGCUGUAAGCGGC